rnacentral:tRNA from 1 species
GGGCGGGUGGCUCAGCUGGGAGAGCAUCGGGUUCGCACUCCGAAGGUCGCGGGUUCAAGUCCCGUCCCGUCCA